rnacentral:rRNA from 1 species
ACGUAGGGAGCAAGCGUUGUCCGGAAUCAUUGGGCGUAAAGCGCGCGUAGGUGGCCCGGUAAGUCCGCUCUGAAAGUCACAGGCUCAACCUGUGAAAGCGGGUGGAUACUGCCGGGCUAGAGUCCGGAAGAGGCGAGUGGAAUUCCUGGUGUAGCGGUGGAAUGCGCAGAUAUCAGGAGGAACACCAACGGCGAAGGCAGCUCGCUGGGACGGUACUGACGCUGAGACGCGAAAGCGUGGGGAGCAAACAGGA